AUUGAACGCUGGCGGCAGGCCUAACACAUGCAAGUCGAGCGGAGCGGCGGACGGGUGAGGAAUGCCGAGGAAUCUGCAUGGGAGUGGGGUAUAACGUCCGGGAACGGGCGAUAAUACCACAUACUAGCAGACGAGCCUAGGGCGGAUUAGCUAUUUGGUGGGGGACAGGCAUACCGAGGCGACUAUCCAUUACUGGUCUGAGAGGAUGAUCAGGCACACUGCAACUGAGACACGGUCCAGACUCCUACGGUAGGCAGAAGUGGGGAAUAUUGGACUAUGGGCGAAUGCCUGAUCCAGCCAUGCCGCGUGUGUGAAGAAGGUCUUCGGGUUUUAGAGCUCUUUAAGUUGGUAGGGGUUACCAACAGAAUAAGCACCGGCUAACUUCGUGCCAGCCGCCGCGGUAAUUC
rnacentral:rRNA from 1 species